GGGCUCGACGGAUUUGACCCUGACCUCUCUCACCCGAAGCCAGAAUCAUACCACUAGACCAUCGAGCC